UGGGCGUAAGGGCUCGCAGGCGGUUUCUUAAGUCUGAUGUGAAAGCCCCCGGCUCAACCGGGGAGGGUCAUUGGAAACUGGGAAACUUGAGUGCAGAAGAGGAGAGUGGAAUUCCACGUGUAGCGGUGAAAUGCGUAGAGAUGUGGAGGAACACCAGUGGCGAAGGCGACUCUCUGGUCUGUAACUGACGCUGAGGAGCGAAAGCGUGGGGAGCGAACAGGAUUAGAUACCCUGGUAGUCCACGCCGUAAACGAUGAGUGCUAAGUGUUAGGGGGUUUCCGCCCCUUAGUGCUGCAGCUAACGCAUUAAGCACUCCGCCUGGGGAGUACGGUCGCAAGACUGAAACUCAAAGGAAUUGACGGGGGCCCGCACAAGCGGUGGAGCAUGUGGUUUAAUUCGAAGCAACGCGAAGAACCUUACCAGGUCUUGACAUCCUCUGACAACCCUAGAGAUAGGGCUUUCCCUUCGGGGACAGAGUGACAGGUGGUGCAUGGUUGUCGUCAGCUCGUGUCGUGAGAUGUUGGGUUAAGUCCCGCAACGAGCGCAACCCUUGAUCUUAGUUGCCAGCAUUCAGUUGGGCACUCUAAGGUGACUGCCGGUGACAAACCGGAGGAAGGUGGGGAUGACGUCAAAUCAUCAUGCCCCUUAUGACCUGGGCUACACACGUGCUACAAUGGACAGAACA
rnacentral:rRNA from 1 species